GUACCGCAAACCGACACAGGUGGGUUAGGAGAGUAUCCUAAGGCCCGCGAGAGAACUGUUGUUAAGGAACUCGGCAAAACGACCCCGUAACUUAGGGAUAAGGGGUGCCACCAUCCGGUGGCCGCAGCGAAUAGGCCCAAGCGACUGUUUACCAAAAACAUAGGUUUCUGCUAAGUCGCAAGACGAUGUAUAGGAGCUGACGCCUGCCCGGUGCUGGAAGGUUAAGGGGAUCUGUUAGAGCAAUCGAAGCAGUGA
rnacentral:rRNA from 1 species